UUGUUUAUAUUUAAAUUUAAUAAAUUAUAAAUAUAAUUUUAAGACGUAAUAUUUAUAUUCUGUUUGCUAUAGCACUGUUUACUAGGCAACAUCUCUGGUAAAUAGGAUACUAGAGUCUCCUCUGACACACAGGACCCAAAAAAUUUACCAAAGAAGUAUACCACAGAAGCAAAAGAGCCCUUGAAGAGGGACAUUCGGAACGGGGAAGUAUCCUUCCUUUUUUCUUUACAGCAUAAGCAAGAACUAUUAUUUUGAAGAUUCCUUUGAAACAGGAUCCUUGACCCUCUUGCUUCUACACCACACUUAUGCACAUUCUGGGUUGCCAUAAGUUUGGCAUCAUAACUAAAAUACUGAAAACAUUCACCACUACUAAUUUUCUUUGUGCAUACCAGCUUUUCUAAUUGGCCCCGAAAAUAAAAAUCUGAAUAUUUGCAGAAUUAUUUAGAUUCGUUCUUCCUAAAAC